UACGUAGGUGGCAAGCGUUGUCCGGAUUUACUGGGCGUAAAGAGCGCGCGGCGGUCGGCCAAGUCGAGUGUGAAAGCCCCCGGCUCAACUGGGGAGGGUCAUCGAUACUGGUCGACUCGAAGGCAGGAGAGGGAAGCGGAAUUCCCGGUGUAGUGGUGAAAUGCGUAGAUAUCGGGAGGAACACCAGUGGCGAAGGCGGCUUCCUGGCCUGUUCUUGACGCUGAGGCGGCGAAAAGC
rnacentral:rRNA from 1 species